UGGGGAAUAUUGCGCAAUGGGGGAAGCCCUGACGCAGCAACGCCGCGUGCAGGAAGAAGGUCUUCGGAUUGUAAACUGUUGUCGCAAGGGAAGAAGACAGUGACGGUACCUUGUGAGAAAGUCACGGCUAACUACGUGCCAGCAGCCGCGGUAAUACGUAGGUGACAAGCGUUGUCCGGAUUUACUGGGUGUAAAGGGCGCGUAGGCGGACUGUCAAGUCAGUCGUGAAAUACCGGGGCUUAACCCCGGGCUGCGAUGAAACUGACAGCCUUGAGUAUCGGAGAGGAAAGCGGAAUUCCUAGUGUAGCGGUGAAAUGCGUAGAUAUUAGGAGGAACACCAGUGGCGAAGGUGGCUUUCUGGACGACAACUGACGCUGAGGCGCGAAAGUGUGGGGAGCAAACAGGAUUAGAUACCC
rnacentral:rRNA from 1 species